rnacentral:rRNA from 1 species
GGCUCAGGAUGAACGCUAGCUACAGGCUUAACACAUGCAAGUCGCGGGGCAGCAUGUCGGUUGCUUGCAACCGAUGAUGGCGACCGGCGCACGGGUGAGUAACGCGUAUCCAACCUGCCCUUCACCACGGAAUAAUCCAGUGAAAAUUGGUCUAAUACCGUAUGAGGUCAUACGAUGGCAUCAGAAUAUGACGAAAGGUUUUGGCGGUGAAGGAUGGGGAUGCGUCUGAUUAGCUUGUUGGUGAGGUAACGGCUCACCAAGGCGACGAUCAGUAGGGGUUCUGAGAGGAAGGUCCCCCACAUUGGAACUGAGACACGGUCCAAACUCCUACGGGAGGCAGCAGUGAGGAAUAUUGGUCAAUGGGCGCAAGCCUGAACCAGCCAAGUAGCGUGAGGGAAGACUGCCCUACGGGUUGUAAACCUCUUUUGUUUGGGAAUAAAGUGCGGGACGCGUCCCGCAUUGCAUGUACCAUUUGAAUAAGGACCGGCUAAUUCCGUG